rnacentral:rRNA from 1 species
UACGAGGGGGGCUAGUGUUGUUCGGAAUCACUGGGCGUAAAGGGAGCGUAGGCGGGAGCCUAAGUUGGGUGUUUAAUUCCGGGGCCCAACCCCGGGCGUGCACUCAAAACUGGGUUUCUUGAAUAGGGGAGAGGUCGGUGGAAUUGGAGGUGUAGCGGUGGAAUGCGUAGAGAUCUCCAAGAACACCCGUUGCGAAGGCGGCCGACUGGACCCAUAUGACGCUGAGGCUCGAAAGCAUGGGGAGCAAACAGG